rnacentral:lncRNA from 1 species
CCUUAGCAACAGACUGAAGGCCUCGGGUACAUUUUAUCUGGUUAACACCAUGGUGGACAUGCCUGCUGUAAGGUGUCCCCUUAGGAAGUAGGCAUUUGCGACCACAGCGGAGGACACGGACCCUGUAAAUGGCAUAACCUUACUUUGCCUUGUAUCCCAGCCUUUGCGCUUCAUCACACCGGGGAUCUGGAGAGCCCUAUGCAGCUCAGAGAGCUGGCGGUAAUGCCCGCAGUGGACCUUCAGAAGAAAGCCUAUCACACAGGGUUGCUUCUUCUUCCAUAGCUCCUGGAUAUAUUUGUAUGUACUCAUCUUGGCUCACCUGAUGGCUGUCUCCAGAGGAAAGAAGUCUUUUUUUUCCCCACAGAUGAGCAUGGGACCACCAUUGACGAGUUGCCUGGUCUUAAACAUAGCAACUUCAGUGGUUCUCCUGGUUAGCCUCCGUUGUUAACAUGACACAGCACAGAUUUAUCUGAAGGAAUCUCAGCUGGGUGAUUGCUUUAAUCAGAUGGACUUGUGGGGCCAUUUUCUUCACUGACAAUUGAUGAAGGAGGUCCAGGCCCACUGUGGGUGGGGUGGUCCUUGGGCACAGGGACCUGGGCUAUAUAAGAAAGGUAGCUGAAAGGGAACAGGCCACUAAGUAGCAUUCCUCCAUGGUGCCAGUAGUCUUCCAUCUCCAGGAACUACUUGGCCCAGAUACUUGUACACUGAGUGUUCACUGAGCAGGAGGAAAGAAAACGAGUGGUACACUGAAUGCUCUCUUCCGAGAGAUACAUCCUGGAGGAAGGAAAUAAUGAUGUCACUGGCCAAGGGCCUCAACACAGCCAGAACACCUCUCCACUGUCCCUUUCCCCCAGACCAACUCCUGUCCAUCUCUCCUCAGAAAAGAGCAGGCCUCCAAGAGACAACAAUGAAACACAGGACAACAAGAUACAAUAAAGCAAGGCAAGAGCUGUCACACCAAAGCUGGACAAGGCAACCAAACUAACAGGAGGAGACGAGUCCCAAGAGUAGGCAAAAGAGUCAAAGACAUGCGUGUUCCCACUAUUAGAAGUUUCACAAGACACCAAGCUAACAGCCAUGACAUCUACACAAAGGGUCUGGUGCUGACCCACAUGGGCCCCAUGCAUGCUGCUUCAGUCUCUGUGAGCCCAUGGGAGCCCUUGGUUGAUUCAAUGGGAUGUGUUCACCUGGUGUCCUGUAUCUCCUCUGACCCCUAGAAUUCUUCAGCUAACUUCUCUGCAGGGUUCCCUAAUCUCUGAGGGGAAGGGCCCUCGGAGGCCUCCAAUUUAAACGCUCUCCAUAAGCUGACAUUUACUUUCCAAUCAUGUUAGUCUUCAGUUUUCUCUUGUUCUUCCACCAACAGUGUGUUAUCACCACCGUGCAACCGUGACCUUCACUUUAUUUUCUCAUCCAUAAGUGAUGCAAAUGGAUUAAACGGCAUUAAAAACUCUUCUUUCUAGAAUUCUGAAAGUGUAUAUGACUCCUGCAGCCAAGAAGCCUCUGGUCUCUCAGCAGUCAAAACUAGGCACAAGGUAAAUGUAUGUCUAAUUUUCAAGAUCUGGGAACAUUAGUUUACAUCAUGGAUCUGACAACUGCAACCAAAGUACUGUUUGCGAUUAAAGUGAAAGAAACAUC